AGAGUUUGAUCCUGGCUCAGGAUGAACGCUGGCGGCGUGCCUAAUACAUGCAAGUCGAGCGAACGGACGAGAAGCUUGCUUCUCUGAUGUUAGCGGCGGACGGGUGAGUAACACGUGGAUAACCUACCUAUAAGACUGGGAUAACUUCGGGAAACCGGAGCUAAUACCGGAUAAUAUUUUGAACCGCAUGGUUCAAAAGUGAAAGACGGUCUUGCUGUCACUUAUAGAUGGAUCCGCGCUGCAUUAGCUAGUUGGUAAGGUAACGGCUUACCAAGGCAACGAUGCAUAGCCGACCUGAGAGGGUGAUCGGCCACACUGGAACUGAGACACGGUCCAGACUCCUACGGGAGGCAGCAGUAGGGAAUCUUCCGCAAUGGGCGAAAGCCUGACGGAGCAACGCCGCGUGAGUGAUGAAGGUCUUCGGAUCGUAAAACUCUGUUAUUAGGGAAGAACAUAUGUGUAAGUAACUGUGCACAUCUUGACGGUACCUAAUCAGAAAGCCACGGCUAACUACGUGCCAGCAGCCGCGGUAAUACGUAGGUGGCAAGCGUUAUCCGGAAUUAUUGGGCGUAAAGCGCGCGUAGGCGGUUUUUUAAGUCUGAUGUGAAAGCCCACGGCUCAACCGUGGAGGGUCAUUGGAAACUGGAAAACUUGAGUGCAGAAGAGGAAAGUGGAAUUCCAUGUGUAGCGGUGAAAUGCGCAGAGAUAUGGAGGAACACCAGUGGCGAAGGCGACUUUCUGGUCUGUAACUGACGCUGAUGUGCGAAAGCGUGGGGAUCAAACAGGAUUAGAUACCCUGGUAGUCCACGCCGUAAACGAUGAGUGCUAAGUGUUAGGGGGUUUCCGCCCCUUAGUGCUGCAGCUAACGCAUUAAGCACUCCGCCUGGGGAGUACGACCGCAAGGUUGAAACUCAAAGGAAUUGACGGGGACCCGCACAAGCGGUGGAGCAUGUGGUUUAAUUCGAAGCAACGCGAAGAACCUUACCAAAUCUUGACAUCCUUUGACAACUCUAGAGAUAGAGCUUUCCCCUUCGGGGGACAAAGUGACAGGUGGUGCAUGGUUGUCGUCAGCUCGUGUCGUGAGAUGUUGGGU
rnacentral:rRNA from 2 species